rnacentral:piRNA from 1 species
UUGGCUUACAGUUCUAAGGGAUACAGUGCGU